UUUCUUUUGUUUGUUUGACUACAGAGAGAGAUGUGUGAGAAGGUUUGCAGACAUUAGGACUGACUGGGGAAGUCAGCAGUUUAAGAAAGGGCGAAUAUAGGGUAGAGGCGUAACUCCCCCACACGGGGGCAGCAUUUGGUCGAUUUUGAUGCAAGACAGGCCACUCGUGUUAAGUGUUCAAGUUGUGUCCGGUGUCAACAGACGUGAGCCCACCGUCGAGAUGAAACCGUCUCUCCGUGCCGAACUCUUUCUCUCCCUCCUUUUCUGCCUGCCGCAUGCAGUAAAUGGCGACAGCAGAUAAGGCGCGUUCCAGUUGUCCUUGCAAUUGGGUGGUUCUCAGCUCCGCUUCCCCGAUGACGUCCCACGAAGUAGGGAUUCUCACGACCCAGAGUAUGCAAUUCAAGAUGGCUGCUCAGAAUGUCAACAGUGAGUAUAGCUCCUGUAAUAUUGUCCGUAUUCUACUUCAAACUAUUUUUUUCUCCCACAAAAUCUGUCGAUUGCAUCGUAUUAUUUGUACGGGUCUGUUGCGUCGUUUUUAUUGCUCAUGCUGCAUAUACGAACUACAAUGCAGCCCGUGCUUACAAUGGCUAUCGCUAGCCUAGUUGACCGCCCACUUUGGUAACUGAACGAACUGAACUCGACAGUUGAUGUCAUUCCUCCGACUUCUGAGGGAACUGGAACGCACAGAUAGAUUUAUUCUUCCCACAAUAGUGAAAUUUUCCCAGCAGAUAUAGUCUCUGUGUUCUCCGCACUUCACAGCAAUAGCACAUUCACUCUCAGGGCGACUGGAUCUCAAAUCAAUCAAAACCAACCUGAAUUUGAUGGGGAUUUUUUUGUUGGUGGAAUACACCUAAUAUGGAAAAGAAUACCAGUUGGACGAAAACCGAUGAGUUUCUUUUCAGUUGCAAGUUCAGCUUGAUCAUUAUCCACCAUUUUCUGUAUGUGCUGCCUGUGGUAAGUUUUCAUGUCUUUGUUAACCGCGCAGUCCACACUGUAGUCCUCUUUCACCAUAAAGCAGUUUUGACUUGGCUCAAAAUAGGGUGCUCGUUGACCUGUGUAAACAUUGACUGCUGAUGUGCCGUGAACUUUGCUUCGAUGCACCUCUCGGACCCACCCACACCAAUCCUGACCAAGUACCUGUUUCUCUGUUAGUCUAUCACUGCGUACUUUUUUUAAAUGCUCUAUUUUUUGACCCUCUGGAUGAGCUA